GACCGAGGGUGCAAACGUUGUUCGGAAUUACUGGGCGUAAAGCGCGUGUAGGCUGCUUCGCAAGUCGGAUGUGAAAGCCCUGGGCUCAACCUAGGAAGUGCAUUCGAAACUUCGAAGCUGGAGUCCUGGAGAGGAAGGCGGAAUUCUCGGUGUAGAGGUGAAAUUCGUAGAUAUCGAGAGGAACACCGGUGGCGAAGGCGGCCUUCUGGACAGUGACUGACGCUGAGACGCGAAAGCGUGGGGAGCAAACAGG
rnacentral:rRNA from 1 species